rnacentral:rRNA from 1 species
UAGGGAAUCUUCGGCAAUGGACGAAAGCCUGACCGAGCAACGCCGCGUGAGUGAAGAAGGUUUUCGGAUCGUAAAACUCUGUUGUUAGAGAAGAACAAGGACGUUAGUAACUGAACGUCCCCUGACGGUAUCUAACCAGAAAGCCACGGCUAACUACGUGCCAGCAGCCGCGGUAAUACGUAGGUGGCAAGCGUUGUCCGGAUUUAUUGGGCGUAAAGCGAGCGCAGGCGGUUUCUUAAGUCUGAUGUGAAAGCCCCCGGCUCAACCGGGGAGGGGCAUUGGAAACUGGGAGACUUGAGUGCAGAAGAGGAGAGUGGAAUUCCAUGUGUAGCGGUGAAAUGCGUAGAUAUAUGGAGGAACACCAGUGGCGAAGGCGGCUCUCUGGUCUGUAACUGACGCUGAGGCUCGAAAGCGUGGGGAGCAAACAGG